GUUCUUUUUGCAUUCAAAAUGAGGGACUGAACAGAUGGUGAACGCUCAGUUUAAAGCAAUAUGUCCAUUAAAAUAACCCGUACUGUUGGUGUUUAGUGUAACAAUAGCAGUGAGUUCAUUAUAGCAGGAUUCUGCAGCAACUGCUCGCUCAGGAAGAAGAGCUUGGAGAUGCUAAGCCUCCGGGUGACGCCCAUCCCCAGCCAGGCAGUGGCCCCACCGCCCGGCCCCCAGCCCUGGGCUUUCAGAGGGAACUUCAGUUGUUUUGCUUAGCAUUUUGCUUCCAAAUAGGAAAGUCAAUAAACAGCUGACAUUUACCAAUGCCUUGCUUCCGGGUUAUUUUUUCUCCACUCUCCAGAUGUUCUGAAAUGUGUGGUUCCAGAUGCGUCACCUCCAACAGGAUGAUCCCACUCCCCUGGACUGCAUUGCACAAACUUGCGCCAGCAGCACACCAGGGGGACGCCGAAGUUGGAAAGUCUGCAGCGGAGGAGAGUGGGGCGUUGCCUGAGACUGGCUCCUACAGAUUGUGGAGGUUUUCUGAGGUCUUCAAGGAGUAGUUUCUGGUGGAAGGUGCUUUGCACAGGGAUGAAUGUUGUCAGCAGAUAGAGUGGAGAGAGUUACUCCUGAUUGAUGGCCAGGAGACCAAGAGGAAGUGGGUACCUGAGCAGCAGGAUUACUGGAGCCACGGAGAUGAGCUACAUCCAGAUUCUUUUUUUUUUUUUUUUUUUUUUGCCUUUUCUAGGGCCACACCUGCAGCAUAUGGAGAUUCCCAGGCUAGGGGUCAAAUCGGAGCUGUAGCUGCCAACCUACGCCAGAGCCACAGCCACGUGGGAUCCGAGCCGCGUCUGUGACCUACACCACAGCUCACAGCAAUUCUGGAUCCUUAACCCAGUGAGCAAGGCCAGGGAUCGAACCAUCCACCUCAUGGUUCCUAGUUGGAUUCGUUAACUACUGAGCCACGACAGGAACUCCUACAUCCAGAUUCUGACUACGCAAACCAGCAUGGUCUCCAGGAGAGCAGCAGCCUGACCCUCACAGCCACGUGUGCAAUGCAGGUCUCCCACCAAGAGUACUGAGAAUUUAUAACAUUUAAUCUUUGGCAAUUUAAUGAAUUUAAAUGACAUGUUUUUGGUGUUUUGUUUGUGUGUUGUUUGUUUUGGUCAUGCCCUUGGCAUGCAGAAGUUCCCAAGCCAGAGAUCGAUCCUAAGCCACGGCAGUGACAACACCAGAUCCUGAACCUGCCAAGCCACCAAGGAACUCUAUGGCAUAUUUUAUUUUCGUUUUGUACCUUAAAAAGUGAUUUUUUUUUACAUAUUGAUAAAUAUCCAUGUUCUUCCUCAGUAAAGUAUCCGUCUAUAUCUCCUAAAAAAAAAAAAAAAAAGGAAUAAUAGUGGAUCGUAAUCUAUAUAGUAAGGAUGUUAACUUUUUAGUUUCAUGUUUGUUGCAGAUCUUUCUUCAUUUGGCACUUGCAUCUAGUUCAGACUAUGAUUUUUGAUGUAAAAAAUAUUUAAACUUUAGGAGUUCCCAUCGUGGCUCAGUGGUUAACAAACAUGACUAGUAUCCAUGGGGAUGUGGGUUUGAUCCCUGGCCAUGCUCAGUGGGUUAAGUAUCUGGCAUGGCCGUGAGCUGUGGUGUGGGUCAGAUCCUGUGUGGCUAGGGCUGUGGAGUAGGCCAGCGGCUUCAGCUCUGAUUCAACCCCUAGCCUGGGAACCUCUAUGUGCUGCGGGUGCAGCCCUAAAAAGACAAAAAAAAAUUUUUUUUAACUUUAUAUGAAAAUGAUCCAUCAUUUUCUUUGACUUAUAGCCUUAAAUUGCAUGACAGCAAGUCCUUUUCUAUCCUAGAGCCGGUUAAAGAGGUAAUAUAUAUGUAGUUUUAUAUUGUUAUGGUUUCCUUUUUUACUUUGUUAAUUUAUCAAAAAUUUUUUAGAACGUGGUGUGUGAGGAAGAGGGAAUGUGACUUUAUUUGUUGCCCCUGAAUUGCUAAUAUUUCUAAACCUAUUUGUUGGACAACCUCCCC
rnacentral:lncRNA from 9 species